rnacentral:lncRNA from 1 species
AUUUUGCUGCCCCUUCUUGUGAGAACUGAACAGAGAUGGCACAUGCACCUUGAAACAUCUUUGGUGUGUUUGCCCUGUGCUGAGGCCUUUGCAAUGAGAGCGGCAUCUCUCUGGUUCCUGGAUAGCUCACUCUGGAGUGCUGCAUCCCUGUAUGUCGAGAGAAGGAUAGAGCUAGGAUUUCACAAAGGGCCUCAGAAACCAAACUUCAAAUGGACAUCAUGGCUUCCUAAUUGCUUUCUUCGCUGCUACCCACAGAGCUGUUUCUGGCACCUGAAUAACUGGCUUCCACCAGAUACUCCAUUGGAAGGUAUUAAAGAUUUUCCACUUAAAGUUUUCUCAAAGCUGUGA